rnacentral:lncRNA from 1 species
AAAAGCCAGAAGACAUCUAGGACAUCCAUAAAAAUUCAUCAGAGAGCAUUUUACUACUGAGCUGCAAAGGGAAAAACUUAAAAUGGAUAUGAAAAGUGAAGAAAGUGAUCAUAGGAGAAAACCAUUUCAGGUGUCUGAUGAUUUGUGAGCCUCAAGUGACUACUCUGUGGAAUCAUCUGUCCUUGCCUUUGAAUUAGCUUUCCCUAGGCCAUGAGUCAACAUUAGUAGUUUAUACAUCCAAAUUGUUCUCUCUGCUGGCUCUGCCUCUCCCUCUCACCUGAUAUGUUCUCCCUCUUUCUUUCUCUUUCUCUCCAGUGUUGACUUCAUUCUCAGAUGACAAGAGCACCUCAAAGGCAGCAGCCUCAAGGAGCAGCCAUGGCCCCAGACUUGUCGCACGGAUGCAGAAAACUUAAUGGAGGAGGCUGAGGUCAGAAUGGGAAGAGUUUUUAAAAAAUAAAAAGGGGAGCUAA